UGAUUUCAAGAAGGAGCUGUGGAUCCUCACAGUGAAUGUUACACUUUUUAAAAGCAGCAUGUCCUGAGUUUAUUCUUUCUGAUGUUUGGAGUUUCUUCCUUCUGGUAGGGUUUGUGGUCUCAGCGACUCAGGAGUGAAACUACAGACAUUCGCGGUGAGUGUUACAGCUCUUAAAGGCAGCCCGUCUGGUGUUUGUUCCUCCUGGUGGGUUCAUGGUCUUGCUAGCUCUAACAGUGAAGCUGCAGACCUUUACAGUGAGUACAACAGCUCAUAAACACAGCGUGGACUCAAAAAGUGAGUAGCAGCAAGAUUUGCUGCAAAGAUUGAAACAACAAAGCUUCCACAGUGUGGAAGGUAACCAGAGCCGGUUGCCAGUGCUGGCUGGGGCAGCCUGCUUUUAUUCUCUUAUCUGGCCCCACCCACAUCCUGCUGAUUGGUCCAUUUUACAGAGAGCCAAGUGGUCUGUUUUGACAGGGUGCUGAUUGGUGCAUUUACAAUCCCUGAGCUAGACACAAAGGUUCUCCAGGUCCUCACUAGAUUAGCUAGAUAUGGAGUGUGGACACAAAGGUUCUCCAAGUCCCCACCAGAGUAGCUAGAUACAGUGUCGAUUGGUGCAUUCACAAACCCUGAGCUAGACACAGUGUGCUGAUUGGUGUGUUUAUAAACCUUGAGCUAGAUACAGAGUGCCGAUUGGUGUAUUUACAAUCCCUGAGCUAGACAUAAAGGUUCUCCAAGUCCCCACCAGACUCAGGAACCCAGCUGGCUUCACCCAGUGGAUGUGCACGGGGUCCGCAGGUGGAGCUGCCUGCUAGUCCCGCGCCAUGCGCCCCCAUUCCUCAGCCCUUGGGUGGUCAGUGGGACUGGGCGCGGUGGAGCAGGGGGCGGCGCUCGUUGGGGAGGCUCGGGCGGCGCAGGAACCCACGGAGGGCGGCGGGGAGGCUCAGGCAUGGCGGGCUGCAGGUCCGAGCCCUUCCCCGCGGGAAAGCAGGAAGCUUCCAUAUGACACUGCAUUUCCCUUUAACUACCACCCAAUCUGGUAGCUACUCACCACGUGUGGCAAAGAUAGGGUCUCGCUUUGUUGCCCAGCUUGGUCUCAAACUCCUGACCUCAAGUGAUCCACCUGCCCUGGCCUCCCAAAGUGCUGGGAUUACAGGCAUGAGCUGCCAUGCCCAGCCAAAAAUAUCUGUCCAUUAAACUCAACUCUACCAUUCUGGACUGUAUUCCACUCUGCAUCACAUAAGACGUUAUUGUAUGUCA